AUGAGCUCGUCGGCGGCCAAGAAGGGGGCGUCGCUGGUGGCGGCGACGAGCAUGGCGGCCGUGGAGGCGCUCAAGGACCAGGCGGGGCUGUGCCGCUGGGACUACGCGCUCCGCUCGCUCUACCACCGCGCCGUCCCGGCGUCCCUAUCCUCCUCCUCCCAGCACGCCGGGAGCGGCAGCGCGGCGGCCGUCGGCAGGGCUGCGCGGCCCAGGCGAUCCGAGGAGGAGAAGCUGCACAAGGCGUACCACAUCGUCUGCUGGGGACCCAACUGA
rnacentral:rRNA from 1 species